AUUGAACGCUGGCGCCAUGCCUUACACAUGCAAGUCGAACGGCAGCACGGGUGCUUGCACCUGGUGGCGAGUGGCGAACGGGUGAGUAAUACAUCGGAACAUGUCCUGUAGUGGGGGAUAGCCCGGCGAAAGCCGGAUUAAUACCGCAUACGAUCUACGGAUGAAAGCGGGGGACCUUCGGGCCUCGCGCUAUAGGGUUGGCCGAUAGCUGAUUAGCUAGUUGGUGGGGUAAAGGCCUACCAAGGCGACGAUCAGUAGCUGGUCUGAGAGGACGACCAGCCACACUGGGACUGAGACACGGCCCAGACUCCUACGGGAGGCAGCAGUGGGGAAUUUUGGACAAUGGGCGAAAGCCUGAUCCAGCAAUGCCGCGUGUGUGAAGAAGGCCUUCGGGUUGUAAAGCACUUUUGUCCGGAAAGAAAUCCUUGGCUCUAAUACAGUCGGGGGAUGACGGUACCGGAAGAAUAAGCACCGGCUAACUACGUG
rnacentral:rRNA from 1 species